rnacentral:ncRNA from 1 species
GUGUUCGUGAAAAGGAGAGAUGGUUGGCAUCUCCCCUGACAGGGAUGGGAACAGCCUUCGGGCUUUCCUGUUACACACCUCGGUUAAGGCUAUCCACCUCUUUGAGGUUGGAUCUAUAACCCAAUUUUUUU